AAAAAUCUUCUGCUAUUUUUGGACUAAAUGGGACAACUGGCCCGGCUUAUCCGUUAAUAACUAUGUCAUUGUACUUAUCAGUACGCUUGUGUAUUGUACUUUUUUAUGUGUUUGAUAUUCAAAAAAAAAUUGUCAUGUAAAAUAAGAUUAUUUUCAAAAUAAAUAAACAAAUAAAGUCGGUAGUUAUUUUAUCAAUUUUCUUAGAAAGGCUAUGAAUUUCAAUAUUAAUCUACGAAAUAAAAAUUAAAAUAAUAUGGUAUAUCAUCCUAAUUCUCUUUUAAAGAUUGUAACACCGAGCUUUAUGUAAGGUUAGGGGGCAAAAAAAAAAAACUAGGAGCAGGACUACCUGAUGAUUUAUAAUUACAUACUAAAAAAAAAAACCCUCCAUGUAUUUGGUAAUCAAGGUGAAACAUAUGAAAGUUGUUUUCAAAAUUUCAUUAAGAAUUGAAUUCCAAAUAUAUGAAAAUAAUAUACCCUCCAUUACACCAAAAAAAUGUUUGAUAAAAAUUAUACAAUGUAGAAAAGGGAAUAUAAUCCUAGUAAAUUUUUAUUAUAUUGCAUCAAAUAUUGUUGUUUAAAGUGUAGCUACUUUCAUAAUUAUCAAAUAUUCAAAUGCCAAUUGCCAAAUAAAAACAUUUAUUGACAUGUUUAGCCGACAAAAAUUGGCGAUGUUUUUAGUCAAGUCAGGUGGCUGUAAAGUUUUACAUUUAACUCGAUUCAUUUGAGAUUUUUCAAAACCUAAGGGGAGUAUAAGUUAACUACACUUAUGACAUACCUACCGAUCACCAUUUUUGCUUAAUUCCCUCCAACUAAACUAGAGUUGGCAAAAUGGAUGAUAAUCCUGUGUUGUCAGUUUUCGUGUCAUGUCUUAAAUAGAUCCUCUUCAAUAAUCUUUUCAAAAUAUUAAUACUCUAACCCAAUAAGGAAAUAAACGAGUGGCCCAAUACAAUUUAUUUAACAAUUAGGUAAUCAUGCCACCGGAUAAAAUACAACUUGAUAACUCGUUUAAUAUCUAUGUAUUUGACAACACUUAUAUCAAAAUGUUCCAUAUCCCCUUGACAAAAAUUCUAAUUAGGAUUCAGGAUCUCGUCCGAAAACAAUAGCAUAUUCUAUAUAAAUUUAUUGUUCUAAUUUUAUUUGAGUUAGGUUUUGGCACCCAAUUUUGCCCAAGUUUACUAUUUGGAUAGGAUUCAAAAUGUUUAAAAAUCUUGAUUGAAAUCCUGAAUGUCCUGGCUGUGUUGUAAAGUAAAGCUUAAUUAUGAGUUUCCAAAAGUGUAUGACACAUUGGUUUGAUAAACCACAGAGAUUUGACAUGGUAAUUAUAUGAGUAUGAUAAGUCGAUUUGAUAAAGUAAAGAGAUUUGACUUGUCAGUCAUAUGCGUAUGACUUAUAGUUAACGACAAAACCUGUAGCGUAUGACAGCAAAGUCACGUCAUUCAGAACAUUUGGGAUCCCAAUCGGUAUUUAAGAUUUCAAUCAAGUCGAGAAUCAAGUAUAUUUUUUUCCCCAAUUUAUAUUGUUAGGGAUGGGACUCAAGAACAUUUUUCCUUUCGAUUCAUGAUCGAGACGAGAUCAGAAUUGGCCAAUCCCAACUGAGGCAUCUCGAUUACCAAACUAAUACAUGUCUACCAAGUUAUUACACAUUUACACCAUUGGAGUCCAUAAGCAGUGACAAUUGCCCCUAUGAAGACUCGCUUUCGCUACGGCUCUGGUGGGUUCCCUUAACCAAGCCACUGCCUAUGAGUCACCGGCUCAUUCUUCAACAAGCACAUGGUCAGAGCCCCGGGCUUCUCCCACUGCUUGGGAGCUUACGGUUUCAUGCUCUAUUUCAUUAGAUAUUAAAAAAGAAAAAAUAUAUCUAGAGUUUUACAAAAUAAAAUACCAUUUAUAUGUUCAUCUUUCGCAAAAAUAGAGAGAAUUAUAUCUAAUAUUUGAGUUUUACUAAUGGCAAUUUAGGUUUUAUUCAUUAGCAGUAAUUAGAUUAAGUUUAGUUUUUUUAUUUUGCUAGCUUAAUUACAAAUGUAUUCAUAUAAUUUUUUUUAAGAUCUUAGAAAGAUCAUAUUUUAGUGGGUUGUCUCAGAAAGAUCAUAUCAUUAACUGGGUAAACGAGUUACAAACUUAAAUCUUAACAUGACACAGAAAAACUGUAUUGACUUAGACCUUAACCAUUUAAUAAUUGUGUCAAAUUUGACAAUCCAAACUCAUUUAUUCGUGUCGCACAUAUGGGUCAUGUCAAAUUUUGCCAACUUAAAUAAAAUAAUGAAUAAUAGCACUCAACACUUGUUUUAUCUAUUCUACUCAAAAUGCACAUGGACUACUAAUGGUUAAUAAAUAAAAAUAUUAGAGUAGUUAAAACAUAACCAUAUACGCCCUUAAUAGACAUUGACAUAAAAUAUUUAAAAGGUUAGGAUAUCUCUGUUAACAUAUAUGUUUCCAUAAUAUUGAUUUUGAUGAUAACAAACAAGAUUAAUAAUGAUUAAUCUUUUAAGCCCAAAUUAUUUAAUAUUCUUUUUAAAUAAAUCAUUAUUUUUACAUUAUAAAGGUUUUAUAUUUAAUGGAAAAAUGAUUUUAUGAA
rnacentral:lncRNA from 1 species